AGAUUGAACGCUGGCGGCAUGCCUUACACAUGCAAGUCGAACGGCAGCACGGGAGCAAUCCUGGUGGCGAGUGGCGAACGGGUGAGUAAUACAUCGGAACGUGCCCAGUUGUGGGGGGAUAGCCCGGCGAAAGCCGGAUUAAUACCGCAUACGACCUACGGGUGAAAGCGGGGGAUCGCAAGACCUCGCGCUAUUGGAGCGGCGAUGUCGGAUUAGCUUGUGGUAGGGUAAACGCUACCAAGGCUACGAUCCGUAGCUGGUCUGACGAGGACGACCAGCCACACGUGGCUGAGACACGGCCAGACUCCGUACGGAGCAGCAGUGGGAUUUGACAGUGGACG
rnacentral:rRNA from 1 species